UACGAAGGGGCUAGCGUUGCUCGGAAUCACUGGGCGUAAAGGGUGCGUAGGCGGGUCUUUAAGUCAGGGGUGAAAUCCUGGAGCUCAACUCCAGAACUGCCUUGAUACUGAAGAUCUUGAGUUCGGGAGAGGUGAGUGGAACUGCGAGUGUAGAGGUGAAAUUCGUAGAUAUUCGCAAGAACACCAGUGGCGAAGGCGGCUCACUGGCCCGAUACGUGACGCUGAGCACGAA
rnacentral:rRNA from 1 species